CCUACGGGAGGCAGCAGUGAGGAAUAUUGGUCAAUGGUCGGAAGACUGAACCAGCCAAGCCGCGUGAGGGAGGAAGGUACAGAGGAUCGUAAACUUCUUUUGUCAGGGAACAAACCCUGGGACGCGUCCCCUGCUGAGUGUACCUGACGAAAAAGCAUCGGCUAACUCCGUGCCAGCAGCCGCGGUAAUACGGAGGAUGCGAGCGUUAUCCGGAUUUAUUGGGGUUAAAGGGUGCGUAGGCGGUCUGUUAAGUCAGCGGUCAAAGCCCGGGGCUCAACCCGGGCCCGCCGUUGAAACUGGCAGGCUUGAGUGGGGGAGAGGUAGGCGGAAUGCGCGGUGUAGCGGUGAAAUGCAUAGAUAUCGCGAAGAACUCCGAUUGCGAAGGCAGCAUGCCGGA
rnacentral:rRNA from 1 species